GACAGAGGGUGCAAACGUUGCUCGGAAUUACUGGGCGUAAAGCGCGAGUAGGCGGUCACCCGAGUCGGGUGUGAAAGCCCGGGGCUCAACCCCGGAAGUGCACACGAUACUAGGUGGCUGGAGUUCUGAAGAGGAGAGCGGAAUUCCCGGUGUAGAGGUGAAAUUCGUAGAUAUCGGGAGGAACACCAGUGGCGAAGGCGGCUCUCUGGGCAGCAACUGACGCUGAGACGCGAAAGCAUGGGGAGCAAACAGG
rnacentral:rRNA from 1 species